rnacentral:rRNA from 1 species
UACAUGGGGUGCAAACGUUGCUCGGAAUUAUUGGGCGUAAAGCGCGCGUAGGCGGUUACUUAAGUCGGAUGUGAAAGCCCUCGGCUUAACUGAGGAAGUGCACCCGAAACUGAGUAGCUAGAGUACGAAAGAGGGUCGCGGAAUUCCCGGUGUAGAGGUGAAAUUCGUAGAUAUCGGGAGGAACACCGGUGGCGAAGGCGGGUCUCUGGGCCGUAACUGACGCUGAGGAGCGAAAGCGUGGGGAGCGAACAGG